rnacentral:rRNA from 1 species
GACGAACGCUGGCGGCGUGCCUAAUACAUGCAAGUAGGACGCAGUUGCGAACGGGUGAGUAACGCGUAGGUAACUGCCUAUUAGAGGGGGAUAACUAUUGGAAACGAUAGCUAAUACCGCAUACUAGUAGAUGGACCUGCGUUGUAUUAGCUAGUAGGUAGGGUAAUGGCCUACCUAGGCGACGAUACAUAGCCGACCUGAGAGGGUGAUCGGCCACACUGGGACUGGGGCACGGCCCAGACUCCUACGGGAGGGAGCAGUAGGGAAUCAUCGGCAAUGGGGGGAAACCUUACCGAGGAACGCCGCGUGAGUGAAGAAAGUUUUCGGAUCGUAAAGCUCUGUUGUGAAGGGAGCGGUACUUAACCAGAAAGGGACGGCUAACUACGUGCCAGCCGCCGCGGUAAUAC